AAAAUAUUUGGUUCUGGUAUAAUGUUAGCUACAGAGUUUUUUACAUUACACAAUGUAGGAUAAUUUCGUGAUGUGUGAAAGUCUGAUUUACGUGAUAAGCCGAAACUUAAAGUGUCCUAAAAGGAAAAAUUGGCAGCAGGAGCAUAAGUUUUUAAUGAUGACGCGAAGGAAAUCACAACUCAAGUGGGUAGAUCUGGAAAUCAAUGAGUUCUAGCUUGAAACGAAUAAAAAACUAACUAAAUUGAAGCGAAAGAGGGUGCCAGCAGCUGCGGUCACUCCCUCUCUCGAGGAGCUAAUAAGGGUGCAGCUUAGAGGCAGUUAGUCAAAAUGCAUAACGCAAGACAUACAGCAGGGACUAUGGGUGAAAUCUCAGUCCUGCGGGAGGUCCAAAACUUGCGUAAAGAUGAGUCUGCGAAGUUAUGGGUAUAGACCCGGAUUUGGUACCCGGUUAUUCCAUAAUGUCAAGUAUAGCUAUUUUAUUUGAAUUAAUAGUUUGCUAGGGGUACUACGAGCAACUGCUUAAAACUCGAAGAACUUGGCGGUUCCGCAUAACCAUCCAGAGGCUCUUGGCGCUUAAUCUGAUGAUCCGCGUGAUAUCUUACCUGCCCUAUAGAAAGCAGUGUACUGCCGUCGAAAGCUUAUGAUGUGAGUAAAUGAAAAUAGGCCCAAUCUUGGGAUUUUAAGUAAUUAAUAAUCAUACCGAGGCUAGGUCAGGUCGAAGUGCUCCUUAUGGGCAAGGGGUUAGCUGAGAGACAAAUAUUUAGACAUAUAAAGAUUUUAGAGAUGAAAUUCUCUUAGUGAAUAUAAGGAUUUGGGAGUAAAAAGAGAGUAAUUCGUUUUUUUGAAAAGACGCAACUGCGGUGCGUUCAAAUCGCCCGUCACCCUAGCCGAAAGGAGAGGUAAGUCGUAACAUGGUAAGGGUAGGGGAACUUGCUCUUUUAAUAAC
rnacentral:ncRNA from 1 species